AUUGAACGCUGGCGGCAGGCCUAACACAUGCAAGUCGAACGGUAACAGGAAGAAGCUUGCUUCUUUGCUGACGAGUGGCGGACGGGUGAGUAAUGUCUGGGAAACUGCCUGAUGGAGGGGGAUAACUACUGGAAACGGUAGCUAAUACCGCAUAACGUCGCAAGACCAAAGAGGGGGACCUUCGGGCCUCUUGCCAUCGGAUGUGCCCAGAUGGGAUUAGCUAGUAGGUGGGGUAACGGCUCACCUAGGCGACGAUCCCUAGCUGGUCUGAGAGGAUGACCAGCCACACUGGAACUGAGACACGGUCCAGACUCCUACGGGAGGCAGCAGUGGGGAAUAUUGCACAAUGGGCGCAAGCCUGAUGCAGCCAUGCCGCGUGUAUGAAGAAGGCCUUCGGGUUGUAAAGUACUUUCAGCGGGGAGCAAGGGAGUAAAGUUAAUACCUUUGCUCAUUGACGUUACCCGCAGAAGAAGCACCGGCUAACUCCGUG
rnacentral:rRNA from 1 species